rnacentral:RNase_P_RNA from 1 species
CCAGUCGGAUGUCUUGUCGCUGGCAUGUUCGCACAUGCGGGAGGAAAGUCCGGGCAACGCAGAGCACCAUGCUUCCUAACGGGAAGUGGGCAGUGAUGUUCAGGUCAGGCAGAAGAAAACAACCGCCAUGGCUUUGCCGUGGUAAGGGUGAGAAGGUGAGGCAAGAGCUCACCGCGGCGGUGGUGACAUCGCCGGCAGUGCCGCCAUGGGUUGAAAGUUCAAGUAUAUCAACGUUAUCAGGGUUGCUCGCCCGAGUUGAGUGGGUGGAACGAUAGAGCCUCCGGGUGACCGUAGGCGUAGAUAAAUGACAAGAGCUGACCUUGUGUCAGUACAGAACCCGGCUUACAGUCUGACUGGUUUU